rnacentral:lncRNA from 1 species
UUCAGUCAACAACUACUCUGCAUAUGUGCUCGAGAUCAAUACCAACAGCUACUCUACUACUCUGCAUAUUUUCCAAGAUGUUUCCAGGAUAAGAAUAAACCUAUAAAGGACAAGAAACUUCACAGAAACUAAAACUGAAUUCGUGCAACUUCUGUACGCAAAUUAUGAAAGCCAUUGAUUUGAAUUGAACUGAUCACAUUAAACUGAACCCGCAACUGAAAUUCUACUACUACACUAGUGUGUGUGGCGGCGCUUAGCAGCAGGGUACUGUGGGCUAUCGUCGGGCGACAUGGGCGACGGAGAUCCCGGCGCGGGCGCCGGAGAUGGGCCAAGAUGAACGUUGUAGCCGAGUGCUG